rnacentral:rRNA from 1 species
UACGAAGGGGGCUAGCGUUGCUCGGAAUCACUGGGCGUAAAGCGCACGUAGGCGGACUCUUAAGUCGGUGGUGAAAUCCUGGAGCUCAACUCCAGAACUGCCUUCGAUACUGAGAGUCUUGAGUCCGGAAGAGGUGAGUGGAACUGCGAGUGUAGAGGUGAAAUUCGUAGAUAUUCGCAAGAACACCAGUGGCGAAGGCGGCUCACUGGCCCGAUACUGACGCUGAGGCACGAAAGCGUGGGGAGCAAACAGG